GAUGAAGAACGUAUCGAAAUGCGAUAAGUAGUGUGAAUUGCAGAAUUCAGUGAAUCAUCGAAUCUUUGAACGCACAUUGCGCCCUUUGGUAUUCCAAAGGGCAUGCCUGUUCGAGCGUCAUUUGUACCCUCAAGCUUUGCUUGGUGUUGGGCGUCUUGUCUCUAGCUUUGCUGGAGACUCGCCUUAAAGUAAUUGGCAGCCGGCCUACUGGUUUCGGAGCGCAGCACAAGUCGCACUCUCUAUCAGCAAAGGUCUAGCAUCCAUUAAGCCUUUUUUUUCAACUUUUGACCUCGGAUCAGGUAGGGAUACCCGCUGAACUUAAGCAUAUCAAUAAGCGGAGGA
rnacentral:misc_RNA from 1 species